AAUGAACGCUGGCGGCAUGCCUAACACAUGCAAGUCGAACGAAGGCUUCGGCCUUAGUGGCGCACGGGUGCGUAACGCGUGGGAAUCUGCCCUUGGGUUCGGAAUAACAGUUAGAAAUGACUGCUAAUACCGGAUGAUGUCGUAAGACCAAAGAUUUAUCGCCCAAGGAUGAGCCCGCGUAGGAUUAGCUAGUUGGUGGGGUAAAGGCCUACCAAGGCGACGAUCCUUAGCUGGUCUGAGAGGAUGAUCAGCCACACUGGGACUGAGACACGGCCCAGACUCCUACGGGAGGCAGCAGUGGGGAAUAUUGGACAAUGGGCGAAAGCCUGAUCCAGCAAUGCCGCGUGAGUGAUGAAGGCCUUAGGGUUGUAAAGCUCUUUUACCCGGGAUGGUAAUGACAGUACCGGGAGAAUAAGCUCCGGCUAACUUCGUG
rnacentral:rRNA from 1 species